rnacentral:lncRNA from 1 species
GGGGAAAAAAAAAUAACAGGAGCAGUCAUGGCUCCUCCUGCCAUUUCUUAACUUACGAUCCUAUUGUUUAUUAUUAAUAUUAUUAUUGUUUUGUUGUUAAGAAUGGGUCUCAUAUAGCCCAGGCUGGCCUGCUAUUCUAUCUGUAGCCAAAUGAUGACCUUGAACUUGUGAUACUCCAGCCGUUUUACCGCUCAGUUCUGGGGUCUCAGGGGUGCUUUCACCUGGUUUGUAAGGCACUGGGGAUCAAACACAGAGCGUUGUGAGCAGUAGGAAAACACUCCACCAACUGAGCUACAGGCCCAGGCAUAGAAGACAGUCUAAAUGGUCCUAAAUAGAGAUGUUUUCUUUCCACACUAUUAGUAAAACUAAUUCUGAAAACCCUAGCAGCUGCUAUUAGGUGAGACAAUUAAGUCAUUAGUGUGAAGGUACUGAGGUUAGACUGGAAGUAUGGCUCAAUGGCAGAGUCCUCGUCCAGAAGCUGCGAGCCCUUGGAUUCCAUGUCUAACAUCUCAAAACAAACGGG